rnacentral:misc_RNA from 1 species
AAGUCGUAACAAGGUAACCGUAGGUGAACCUGCGGUUGGAUCAUUAAAAAAUAUUUGGUCUCGUGCCAAAUCAACAUCUGUGUGCACCAUUGUCUGUCCUUGGCAGUUCGAGUUGCCUUUCCCGGAGCUCAACACUCUGGGAUCGGCCUACCUCCCGCCUCGUGCGGGGGUUUGGGCUGCCGCCUUUUUUUAUGAAGAACCUUUUGUUAUUUUUUGUCUGAACGAAGAGUUAAUCUUUUUUGAUUAAUGAUUUGAAUACAACUUUUGACAACGGAUCUCUUGGCUCUC